GACGAACGCUGGCGGCGUGCUUAACACAUGCAAGUCGAACGGAAAGGCCCUGCUUUUGUUGGGUGCUCGAGUGGCGAACGGGUGAGUAACACGUGAGUAACCUGCCCUUGACUUUGGGAUAACUUCAGGAAACUGGGGCUAAUACCGGAUAGGAGCUCCUGCUGCAUGGGGGGGGUUGGAAAGUUUCGGCGGUUGGGGAUGGACUCGCGGCUUCUCCGCUUGUUGGGGGGGUAGUGGCUUACCAAGGCUUUGAAGGGUAGCCGGCCUGAGAGGGUGACCGGCCACAUUGGGACUGAGAUACGGCCCAGACUCCUACGGGCGGCAGCAGUGGGGAAUAUUGCACAAUGGGCGGAAGCGUGAUGCAGCAACCUCGCGUGCGGGAUGACGGGCUUCGGGUUGUAAACCGCUUUCGCCUGUAACGAAGCGUGAGUGACGGUAAUGAGUAAAGAAGCACCGGCUAACUACGUG
rnacentral:rRNA from 1 species